ACAUGCAGUCGAGGGGCAGCAUGAUUUGUAGCAAUACAGAUUGAUGGCGACCGGCGCACGGGUGAGUAACGCGUAUGCAACUUACCUAUCAGAGGGGGAUAGCCCGGCGAAAGUCGGAUUAAUACCCCAUAAAACAGGGGGUCCCGCAUGGGAAUAUUUGUUAAAGAUUCAUCGCUGAUAGAUAGGCAUGCGUUCCAUUAGGCAGUUGGCGGGGUAACGGCCCACCAAACCGACGAUGGAUAGGGGUUCUGAGAGGAAGGUCCCCCACAUUGGUACUGAGACACGGACCAAACUCCUACGGGAGGCAGCAGUGAGGAAUAUUGGUCAAUGGCCGAGAGGCUGAACCAGCCAAGUCGCGUGAAGGAAGAAGGAUCUAUGGUUUGUAAACUUCUUUUAUAGGGGAAUAAAGUGGAGGACGUGUCCUUUUUUGUAUGUACCCUAUGAAUAAGCAUCGGCUAACUCCGUGCCAGCAGCCGCGGUAAUACGGAGGAUGCGAGCGUUAUCCGGAUUUAUUGGGUUUAAAGGGUGCGUAGGUGGUGAUUUAAGUCAGCGGUGAAAGUUUGUGGCUCAACCAUAAAAUUGCCGUUGAAACUGGGUUACUUGAGUGUGUUUGAGGUAGGCGGAAUGCGUGGUGUAGCGGUGAAAUGCAUAGAUAUCACGCAGAACUCCGAUUGCGAAGGCAGCUUACUAAACCAUAAACUGACACUGAAGCACGAAAGCGUGGGGAUCAAACAGGAUUAGAUACCCUGGUAGUCCACGCAGU
rnacentral:rRNA from 1 species